rnacentral:rRNA from 1 species
ACGUGAUCUGAGUUCAGACCGGAGUAAUCCAGGUCAGUUUCUAUCUAUAAAGGGCUUUUUCUAGUACGAAAGGACCGAAAAAGCAUGGCCAAUGAUACAUUAAGCCAUAUUAUUAAUUUAUGACUAACACUUAAUUAUUAAAAAACCUCUUAUUCUACUCAAAACAAGAGAA